UGGGUCUCAGUCCCCACCAUUCCCUUCUGGAAUCAUCUGGAGGCUGAAAGUGGGGCUGCACCGCCAGGAGGCUGGGUCAGUGACUGGCCUGCUGUUCUCCGUCCCUGGCACACGGGUGGCAGCAGGCCAGGUGUUCAUGGGCCGCCCCAUCCAGCGUUAGCUGCGGCUCUGGCUCCCCAGUUGCCCUGAUCUGUCACUCCCCCAGGGCACUCGCAAUUGUCCUCCGUCCUGAGGUCAGCCCCCUGACUCAGACUCACGUGCCUCUGCGGCUGCCUGCCCCUUUGUUCCGAGCGGACUCUAACAAAGAAGACUUGUUCUCCCAAGACAAGAACACAGUGAACCAGGGGAGCCAGGCUCCCCUCCGCUCUCCCUCCAGGAAAGUGGCAGCUCUCCACGCGGGACAGAGCUCUCGUGUUCUGCUGGGUGCCCGGCUGCAUGUCUGCCAAGUCUCCAUUUUACAGUGUUGGCCUGGAGUUGUGAGAGACGACUGUGCAGCUUGCAGGAGUUUCGUGAGCUGGCUGAUGCCAUGUGGGUAGUCAUGAUGGUGGUUUGAUCAGCCACCACGGGAUAGCGACACCACAGGAAUGAGCAUGCGCCACAGAGUUGGGCUUUUUACCCUGUGUCUCCUGCCCCCUCCCCCUUCCAUUAGAAUGAACGCUCCUUGGGGCAGGGGUCUGCCCACCUUGAUUUCUGCUGUCACCCUGGCACCUAGAACAAUGCUUGGCAUCUAGGAAGCAUUCAAUAAAUACUGGUUGAAUUGAGUGACCCUCA